rnacentral:rRNA from 1 species
UACGUAGGGUGCGAGCGUUAAUCGGAAUUACUGGGCGUAAAGCGUGCGCAGGCGGCUUUGCAAGACAGAUGUGAAAUCCCCGGGCUUAACCUGGGAACUGCAUUUGUGACUGCAUGGCUGGAGUGCGGCAGAGGGAGAUGGAAUUCCGCGUGUAGCAGUGAAAUGCGUAGAUAUGCGGAGGAACACCGGUGGCGAAGGCAAUCCCCUGGGCCUGCACUGACGCUCAUGCACGAAAGCGUGGGGAGCAAACAGG